ACCGGUCUCCGGUAGUGGCCCCCGGGAACCCGGCAGCACGCCGGCACCCGGGCGCUUCGAUCGAAGACCGGC
rfam:Micromonospora lupini str. Lupac 08 genomic scaffold, 1951_scaffold4